AAGAAAAAGAAACAUAAGAAGGUGGAAGAUAAGAUGCUUGGAUGGGGUAAGUUGACAACAUUGAACUUUUCUGUCUUUGUAGGGUGGAGCCAAGAAAGUAGUUUUAUCUUGCCAUAUUUUACAUUUCAGGUUCUCAAUGAAGCUUAUUAGCAUUCAUGUAUUUUUUCAAUAUAUGUACGCUCUUCAGUGUUUCUGGCUUGUAAGUGAAUUUACUUGCACCUGAUUCUUAAAUUUUAUUUUAUUCUGUUUUAGCUACAUGAUUUUGAUACGUGCAUUGCAAAAAAUGAAGAAGCUAUUCAAAUUGAUCCUCACUUUGCUGCGUGUUAUGGAAACAUGGCAAAUGCUUGGAAGGAGAAGGGCAACAUUGAUGUUGCAAUCCGCUACUGUUUAAUUGCUAUCGAGCUCCGACCAAAUUUUGCUGAUGCAUGGUCAAAUUUAGCAAGUGCAUAUAUGCGUAAAGGGCAGUUUAAUGAGGCAGCUCAAUGUUGUCGCCAGGCUCUUGCACUGA